rnacentral:rRNA from 1 species
GGAUUAGAUACCCUGGUAGUCCACGCCGUAAACGAUGUCUACUUGCAGCUCGGUUCGUAAGAACGGUUUUGCGAAGCUAACGCGUUAAGUAGACCGCCUGGGGAGUACGGUCGCAAGAUUAAAACUCAAAUGAAUUGACGGGGGCCCGCACAAGCGGUGGAGCAUGUGGUUUAAUUCGAUGCAACGCGAAGAACCUUACCAUCCCUUGACAUCCUGAGAAGUUAGCAGAGAUGCUUUCGUGCCUUCGGGAACUCUGAGACAGGUGCUGCAUGGCUGUCGUCAGCUCGUGUUG